rnacentral:lncRNA from 1 species
GCGAGGGAGAGGGAGGCGGAAGCCGCGGCCUGAGCCGCGCUGAGCGGGGGGGAUGCUGGGAGUUGUAGUCCGCGCGGCGCUGCCGGCGGAAGGGAGAAGCGGGGGGGUGGACUACGACUCCCGGCAGCCCCCGCGGGAGGGAGGGCGCGAAGCGGAAGUGCGUGAGGGGAGGUGGAGGCGCCUGCCUGCUGCCGCCGCCGCUGCUGCUGCUGAGGAGGCCGCGGGCGGAGCGGGGCCGGUGAGAGCUCAACUGCUUCUCCUAAAGCAACGUUCAGGAACAUCCUUGAUGGGAGACCUGUACAAGGUGCGUAACGCCAAGUCAUGGGCAGCCCUUUCCUUGUUUUUUUCCUUAAGGUGACAAGAUUCAGGGUAAGGUAGUUAACGCCCAGUGGUGGCUUGGUAAUAAAUACCUGACUGGGUUUGCUUUUUGCAGCUUGUAACUGAAAAUUGCCAGAGGUUAAAUGUGUGGAGAGUGUUAAUCCCUCAGGACAGCCCCAGUUUGGGGGCUGUGGAUUUCAGAAGAUAUCCCAAAUUCAAUUGUUUGUACCAGCACUUACUGUUUCUUUGGGAGCAUGACUUCCAAACUGGUUAAAGAGCACUGUGGGCACCUAGACAAAGGAAAUAUCAGCGUUUGUGGCGUGCUGGGUUCCAGACUGCAGGGACCAGAGCGAGCUGAGAACUUCACUGGAGGUCACAGUUUAUUGCUCCGUUGCUGCACGGGGAGUAGCACAAUAACUUCCAUCACUCCGAAUUCUUUUGGUUAACUCAUUUGUGAAUAGUUCACAUAUGUAAAAUAAGUUGGAGCAGUUCUUGCUUCUCUUGCUCGUGGGGGCUCUAAAACUGCACUCACAAGGAUUUGUAGGCCCCAAGCAGUUUCGAC